CCUACGGGCGGCUGCAGUGGGGAAUAUUGGGCAAUGGAGGCAACUCUGACCCAGCCAUGCCGCGUGAAGGAUGAAGGUCCUACGGAUUGUAAACUUCUUUUAUUAGGGAAGAAACCCUUGAAUUCAUUCGAGGCUGACGGUACCUAAGGAAUAAGCACCGGCUAACUCCGUGCCAGCAGCCGCGGUAAUACGGAGGGUGCAAGCGUUAUCCGGAUUCACUGGGUUUAAAGGGUGCGUAGGUGGAUCGAUAAGUCAGUGGUGAAAGCCCCGAGCUCAACUUGGGAAUUGCCAUUGAUACUGUUGAUCUUGAGUGCGGUUGAGGUAGACGGAAUAUGUCAUGUAGCGGUGAAAUGCUUAGAUAUGACAUAGAACACCAAUUGCGAAGGCAGUUUACCAAGCCGAUACUGACACUGAGGCACGAAAGCGUGGGGAUCAAACAGGAUUAGAUACCCCGGUAGUC
rnacentral:rRNA from 1 species